UGCUGAAGCUGGAUACCCGACUGGGACCUUCAACCAUGAAGAAAUUUUUCUUCUUUUGCUUCCUUGCUACCUCUUUAGUACUCAUGGCUGCCCCAGGACUUGCCGUGCCCCCGAAACCACAUACCUUUGCAGAAUGUGAAAAGUGGGGAGCUACAUGUGGCUAUUUCAUUUGUAUAACACCUCAGGUUGCUUUUGGACAGUGUAAAACUUGGCGUCCUUGCUGUGUCCGAUUUUAGGAAACCAUGAACUACACCUUGUCUGUCUAAAAAUGCCCGGAAGACAUCAUCUGAGUUCUGCAAUUGCUAUAUCAUCCUGUCUGAUGAAACUUCCAUUCUUCAAUGUGUCAGUGGGAAAAGACAGUCCUGGAGGUUAUGAAAAUCAAUACUGGUUUUAUAGAUUGGAGUGCAUAACUUGCUUGACCAAAGUAUGGUUACUUUUGAAAAUGUCAGGCCUGCAAGAACUAAAGUUAAGGUUACGCACUGAGAUCAUUUUGUGCAAAACAAAAUCUCUUAUACAAAAGUCAUUUCUAUGUAGGCAAUUGCCUGAAUCCCCAUGUAGUUGUCACAUAUAAUGAACACAUGAUCUGUUGCAUCAUGCUUUCAUGGGAUAAGAAGUUGCCUCCUUUCCUGGCUUCUACAACAUGGUAGACCCAUGUGCCUUCAUCAUGCCAACAGAUGUGAGAAACUAUACAUGGCAUGUACUCAGUUUCCUAUCUGCAGUGACUUCCAUGUAGGACAUUCAUCUUGCCUGAAGUGGCCCUGAUGUGCUCCUUAUUCUGAAAUAUGUAUGAGGACCUAUUCUUCCAUUAUUCACUGAAUACGCUGCAAUUCAAGUAUAAUUUCUUGGCAAACAGGAAACUAUGGGAAACUUGGACGAUUCAUCCAGUCUACUUCCCAAUGCAUCGCGUUCAGUUUGGUCAUGUCAGAUGAUCUUUUAUACCCUUUUCUGAUGGGUUCAAAAUUCAUAACGUGAGUCUAGAUUUGAAAUGUAACUUUCCUCCUAUGAAAAUAGGAUGUGGUUUUCCUUGGGAGGCAGUAAUGUAGAAAGACCACUUGCAACAAAUGUGGUCCAAGAGAGGUCUGGUUUGCUUUUUGGCAGACAGCAACAAAGCCCACUUGAAAAUGAAAUCUUGAAUAUUGCAAUGCCUCUAGCCAUUAACAACCUCCACCUAAGACAGAGGAUUCCCUAACUCAGCAUGCUAUUUGUGUUGUUUAUCUGUAUGCAUGAACCAAUGUUCCAUUUUGUUUUUCCUAAAUAAACAUCAG